GGCCCAUCAGAGCUUUGCACGCAGAGAUCAAUGAGUCUAUUUCCCAGGAUGGCUUAUCUUGAUCUGUGAGGGCAUUUAUCAGACAGCUACAGUCUGACUCAAGCUGGUACUUUAAGUGAGAGCACGAACUAAAGUGGUGAAGUGCUUCCCAACAGGCUAGGGUUUUGAUUUGCGCCGGAGAAGACGCUCGCACCUUCUUUGCAAAACCGUCAACGAUCUUCCCAGAGGCAUCUCGGCAUACACAGGCGACACUACCUUCGUUAUCUCCUUCCACAAAGGACCCAUCAACGUUAAUUUUGAGGGUACCUUCCGGCAGUGGCUUCCAUAUGGCAGCUUCCACUACCCACCUCGACUCUGGGUUCUGUUGACGAAAGACGUGAUUGUUUCUUGACUUCCAGAUGUUCCAUAGGAUCUCGGCUAGUAGCUCAGGGUGCGUCCAAACUUGUUUGGUCCAUUCAUAGAGAAGAAAGAUAUGUUCUACAGUCUCUGGGUGCUUGCGACAAAGAGGGCAUAAGGGCUCAGGUAUGAUUUUCCUUGUGUGCAAAUUCUCUGCCGUGGGAAUAGCGUUUUGGCACAUACUCCAAAUAAACAACUUGACUUUCGGAGGGGUGUUCAGGUUCCAUAUCAGAUUCCAUAGUGCUUUUGGUGGUUGAUAGGAAGAUGUGGCUCUGUGUGGUUGUUGUUGUUCAUCCGUCACUCUUGCAUAGUUGUAGGCACUUUUCACUGAAUAUUGUCCUGACUUGGUGCAGGUCCACACUAGCUUGUCUUUCUCAGCGUUAGGUCUUAGCGGAAUUGCUAAUAUUUGGUCAGCUAUCUGCUCAUCGAACAUACUCUUUAUCAUCUGUUCAUCCAAACUAUAGUCCUCUUGGUUAAUUAAAUCCGCCACUUUCUGAGGUUCCCCCUGUCUUGCCUCACCUCCAAUUAUUCCUCUCUGAAGCCACUGAUCAUUUCUAAUGCUUAUGUCUUCUCGAUUACCCACACUCCAUUUUACUGCUUUGGAGAUGUGCUCUCUGCCCAUUAGUAUGCUUUGCCAUCCCCACGAUGAAUGUGACCCCUUUCCUGCAUUCCAGAAAUUGUUAUUGGGGUAGUAGAGCCCUUUGAAAAGCUGCACCCAUAAACUUGAUGGGUUUUGAAAACUCUCCACACUUGUUUACCAAGCAUGGCCUUGUUGAAGGUUAUCAAAUCCUUGAACCCCAUUCCCCCAUUAUCCUUUCUUCUUUUCAGAACAUCCCAUCUCUUCCAAUGUAGCCCCGUCUUGGAUUCGUUGUUUUUCCACCAAAAUGUUGCAAUUUUUUGUUCGAUCGAACGACAAAUGGAUAUGGGGAUUUUAAAAAUUGACAUUGCAUAAUGUGGGAGGGCUUGCACCACUACUUUAAUUAGUAUCUCUUUUCCUGCCUUGGUUAUUAGUUUCUCUUUCCAUCCUUCGAGUUUCGUUUUGACUCUUGCCAAGAUCCAUGCAAACAUUUGCUUUUUCGUUUGUCCCCAAUCUGAUGGGAUCCCCAAAUAUUUUCCUGUUUUUUUCUAUCUCCGGCACCCUUAAUUCAUUUGCCAUAUUCUUGCGAAGACUCCUUGGACAUUCGUUGCUGAAAAAAAUCCCUGAUUUGUUGAGAUUGAUGGCUUGUCCUGUUGCGAAGCAAUACUGGUUUAAAACUGCCCCCACAUUUUGGCAUUCUUUAAUCUGCCCAUCUAGGAAAAAGAUGGAGUCAUCUGCAAAAAGUAAGUGUGACAGCGUGGGACAGUUUCUAUUCAACUUGAUCCCAGUAAUGCUUCCAUCUUGAACCGCUUUAUUAAGUAGGUUGGAUAACACAUUGGCCAAAAUAAUGAAAAUAUAAGGGGAAAGAGGAUCCCCUUGGCGUAUCCCUCUUGAGGGAUGGAAAUAGGACAAGGCUUCCCCAUUAAACUUUAUGCUCAGAGACACUGAAGUAACACAAUGCAUGACCCAUGAAACCCAUUUUGCACUAAAUCCCAUUUGCAGCAAACAAGCUUCCAAGAAAUCCCACUUCACUCUAUCGUAAGCCUUUUUCAUGUCUAGUUUGAGCACUGCUUGGAAUUUCUUCUUUCUUUUUCUAGUUCAGAGUUGACGUAGCACCUCCUGCACCAUCAAAAUGUUAUCCUGUAUUUGCCUUCCACUGACAAAGGCGCUUUGUUCCUCCGCUAUCAAGUUUGGCAGCCAAGGUUUUAGGCGGUUUGCCAUUACCUUUGAGAUG